rnacentral:rRNA from 1 species
UACGGAGGAUCCAAGCGUUAUCCGGAUUCAUUGGGUUUAAAGGGUGCGUAGGCGGAAUGAUAAGUCAGUGGUGAAAUCCUGCAGCUUAACUGCAGAACUGCCAUUGAUACUGGGGAUCUCGAGUCCGGAAGAGGUUGGUGGAACUCCGAGUGUAGAGGUGAAAUUCGUAGAUAUUCGGAAGAACACCAGUGGCGAAGGCGGCCAACUGGUCCGGCACUGACGCUGAGGUGCGAAAGCGUGGGGAGCAAACAGG